rnacentral:rRNA from 1 species
AGCAGCCGCGGUAAUUCCAGCUCCAAUAGCGUAUAUUAAAGUUGUUGCAGUUAAAAAGCUCGUAGUUGAAUUUCGGGGUCAGUAGGUUGGUCGUGCCACUGGUAUGCACUGGUCUCACUGAUUCCUCCUUCCUGAUGAACCGUAAUGCCAUUAAUUUGGUGUUGCGGGGAAUCUGGACUGUUACUUUGAAAAAUUAGAGUGUUUAAAGCAGGCUAACGCUUGAAUACAUUAGCAUGGAAUAAUGAAAUAGGACGAUCGAUCCUAUUUUGUUGGUUUCUAGGAUUGACGUAAUGAUUAAUAGGGAUAGUUGGGGGCAUUAGUAUUCAAUUGUCAGAGGUGAAAUUCUUGGAUUUAUUGAAGACUAACUACUGCGAAAGCAUUUGCCAAGGAUGUUUUCAUUAAUCAAGAACGAAAGUUAGGGGAUCGAAGACGAUCAGAUACCGUCGUAGUCUUAACCAUAAACUAUGCCGACUAGGGAUCGGAUGAUGUAAUUUUUAAUGA